rnacentral:rRNA from 1 species
UGGGGUAUAUUGCACAAUGGGGGAAACCCUGAUGCAGCGACGCCGCGUGAACGAAGAAGGUAUUCGUAUCGUAAAGUUCUGUCCUAUGGGAAGAUAAUGACAGUACCUUAGAAGAAAGCUCCGGCUAAAUACGUGCCAGCAGCCGCGGUAAUACGUAUGGAGCUAGCGUUGUCCGGAAUUAUUGGGCGUAAAGGGUACGCAGGCGGUUUAAUAAGUCGAAUGUUAAAGAUCGGGGCUCAACCCCGUAAAGCAUUGGAAACUGAUGAACUGGAGUAGUGGAGAGGAAAGUGGAAUUCCUAGUGUAGUGGUGAAAUACGUAGAUAUUAGGAGGAAUACCAGUAGCGAAGGCGACUGUCUGGACACCAGCUGACGCUGAGGUACGAAUGCGUAGAGAGCAAACAGG